AGCUCAAAUUUGAAAUCGGCCAUCAGGUCGAGUUGUAAUUUGUAGAUUGUACUUUGAGAGCGGAUUAAAGUCUGUUGGAACACAGCGCCUUAGAGGGUGACAGCCCCGUAAAAUCUAUUCUCAUUGUAAAGUACUUUCGAAGAGUCGAGUUGUUUGGGAAUGCAGCUCUAAGUGGGAGGUAAAUUCCUUCUAAAGCUAAAUAUUGACGAGAGACCGAUAGCGAACAAGUACUGUGAAGGAAAGAUGAAAAGCACUUUGAAAAGAGAGUGAAAAAGUACGUGAAAUUGUUAAAAGGGAAGGGUAUUGAAUCAGACGUGGUGCUGUUGUUCAACUUUGUUUCGGCAUGGUGUACUCAGCAGUACUAGGCCAAGGUGGGGUGUUUGGGAGUGAAAAAGGAAUAGGAACGUAGCUCUUCGGAGUGUUAUAAUCUAUUUUCAUAGCUCCUCAGGCGCCUCAGGACUGCGCUUCG
rnacentral:rRNA from 1 species